AUGGUUUUGGUAUCCGCUCCCGUCGGCCCUCGUCUUGUCUAUGAUUCGGAUGUGGAGGUUGUUGAACCGGAAAUUCCAACCGACCCUAUUGUCGAGAGGUUAAAUUUAGUUGAAGAAGAAAACAAUUUCUUGAAGGAAAAAAUUAGAAAAAUUGAGGAGGAGAAGAUGAUAUUGGAGUUGCAUGUUGCGGAUGUCGUGGAUGAUCACAAGAUCAAGAUGGAUGCAAUGCGCUUGAAGAUUAGAAAGAUUAAAAAAUAUGCCAUUCAUACCGAGGCUUGGUAUCAUUAUGCCGUUGGAUCAGUUGUUACAUUGGUUGUGAUUAUGAUCGCAUUUGUUUUCGCAUUGAAAUGUUUUACAUAG
rnacentral:rRNA from 1 species